UGCCUAACACAUGCAAGUCGAACGCAUAUUUUGUAGCAAUACAGAGUAUGAGUGGCGCACGGGUGAGUAACACGUGGGUAAUCUGCCUUCAAGAGGGGGAUAACCUGCCGAAAGGCGGGCUAAUACCGCAUAAGACCACAGUCCCUGAGGGGACAGAGGUCAAAGAUGGCGCAAGCUAUCACUUGAAGAUGAGCCCGCGGCCCAUCAGCUAGUUGGUAGGGUAAUGGCCUACCAAGGCGAUGACGGGUAGCUGGUCUGAGAGGACGACCAGCCACACUGGAACUGAGACACGGUCCAGACUCCUACGGGAGGCAGCAGUGGGGAAUAUUGGACAAUGGGCGAAAGCCUGAUCCAGCAACGCCGCGUGGGUGAUGAAGGCCUUCGGGUCGUAAAGCCC
rnacentral:rRNA from 1 species